CAGAGUUCAUGCCCUCACGGGUAGAUCUCCCACCCUUGAAUAUUAUACCUUAGUUGCUUUGGCAGGCCGGGGCAACCCCCGGGGCUUCGGCCUUGGUGUACCUGCCAGAGGAAACAAACUCUGUUUUUAGUGAUGUCUGAGUACUAUAUAGUAGUUAAAACUUUCAACAACGGA
rnacentral:misc_RNA from 1 species